GAGGAAGGAGGGGAUGAUGUCAGGUCAGUAUUACCCUUACGUCUGGGGCUACAAACACGCUACAAUGGCCGGUACAAAGGGCAGCCAACCCGCGAGGGGGAGCAAAUCCCAUCAAAACCGGUCUCAGUUCGGAUAGCAGGCUGAAACUCGCCUGCUUGAAGCUGGAAUCGCUAGUAAUGGUAGGUCAGCACACUACCGUGAAUACGUUCCCGGGUCUUGUACACACCGCCCGUCAAACCAUGAAAGUCGCCAAUACCUGACGUGCCACCUUGAGUGGUCCUAAGGUAGGGGAGAUAAUUGGGGUUAAGUCGUAACAAGGUAACC
rnacentral:rRNA from 1 species